rnacentral:rRNA from 1 species
UGAGUAACCUGCCCCUAACUCUGGGAUAAGCCUGGGAAACUGGGUCUAAUACCGGAUAUGACUCCUCAUCGCAUGGUGGGGGGUGGAAAGCUUUAUUGUGGUUUUGGAUGGACUCGCGGCCUAUCAGCUUGUUGGUGUGGGUAAUGGCCCACCAAGGCGACGACGGGUAGCCGGCCUGAGAGGGCGACCGGCCACACUGGGACUGAGACACGGCCCAGACUCCUACGGGAGGCAG